rnacentral:pre_miRNA from 1 species
AGUGUGAUUGCUGGACUAUAUGGUAAGAGUAUCUUGAGUUUUCUAAGAAACUGCCAAACUGUCUUCCAAAGUGGCUGUACCAUUUUACAUUUCCAUCAGCAAU